AUGCAUGGGGGCUUUGGCUAUGGCAUCAGGAAUCAAGAAGGAGAAGAUGUCUUAAGCUUCGCUCUAGCCUACGACAUGAUCAUAGCUAACACCCUCUUUAAAAAGAGAGGAUCACAUCUAGUGACUUUUGGUAGUGAUCGACACUCUAGUCAGAUUUAUUUCAUCCUCUCGAGAAGAGAAGAUAGGCGUGCGUGCCUAGACGGUAAGGUGAUACCUGGAGAGAGUGUUGUCCCUCAACAUAAGUUGUUCAAUGGGGAGAAUGAUAGUUCUACCAUUGAACUAGACGACUCCUUUGAUGAUACCAGCAAGCGUUUUGUGCGGCGAAUCCAGGAGUCUGAGGUCAAGGAGGCUUUAAAAGGGAUGAAAGGAGGAAAGGCGAUGGGCCCUGAUUGUAUCCCCAUUGAGGUGUGGAGAGGCCUCGGGGAUAUAGCGAUAGUAUGGCUAACUAAGCAUUCCAACCUCAUUUUUCAGGCAAACAAAUGCCAGAAGGAUGGAGAUGGAGUAUAUUAG
rnacentral:rRNA from 1 species